rnacentral:rRNA from 1 species
AUACGGAGGAUGCGAGCGUUAUCUGGAUUUAUUGGGUUUAAAGGGUGCGUAGGCUGUGCGUUAAGUCAGGGGUGAAAUGCCGUCGCUCAACGACGGAGCUGCCCUUGAUACUGGCGUGCUGGAGUACGGAUGCCGUUGGAGGAAUGAGUGGUGUAGCGGUGAAAUGCUUAGAUAUCACUCAGAACACCGAUUGCGAAGGCAUCUGACGAAUCCGUCACUGACGCUGAGGCACGAAAGCGUGGGGAUAGAACAGGAUUAGAUACCCUGGUAUUCCACGCCGUAAACGAUGAUGACUAACCGUCGGCGAUAGACAGCCGGUGGCCAAGCGAAAGCGAUAAGUCAUCCACCUGGGGAGUACGUCGGCAACGAUGAAACUCAAAUGAAUUGACGGGG